rnacentral:misc_RNA from 1 species
AAGUCGUAACAAGGUUUCCGUAGGUGAACCUGCGGAAGGAUCAUUACAGUAUUCUAUUGCCUGCGCUUAAUUGCGCGGCGAUAAACCUUACACAACGUGUUUUUUUAUUAUGAACUAUUACUUUGGUCUGGCUAAGAAAUUAGUUGGGCCAGAGGUGAUUUAAACUUCAAUUUUAUUGAAUUGUUAUUUUAAUUUUUGUCAAUUUGUUGAUUAAAUUCAAAACAAUCUUCAAAACUUUCAACAACGGAUCUCUUGGUUCUC